GGUGCCACCUCCGGCCAUCCCUUCCCCCGCUGGCCUUCAUGAGCUGUUCAUGCUGCGCACGUAGCAAUAGAGCUCACCCCGUGCUGUGGAAUGAGGGUCCCCGAUGCACGUACAGGCAGUGUUUAGCGCGGUAUCCACCUCUGCUCUCCGCUGGAAGAGGCCUUCCGUGUACACUUCUCCAUCCGGGUCCCUUCCCUGCUGGCUAGUUCCCAGUGGGGUUCGCCAGUGGGAAGCAAUGCAGGAGACUUGAGAGGCGAGGAAGGGGGAAGCGAGGUCCCAGGUCCCAGUCUGGAUUGCGUGGAGCCCCAGGCCAUGGCAGAGAACAUGGCCUUGUGCAUGUGGAUGCUUGGCGGUGAGGGUUCUUGUCGUUGACUUUCUUUUGCUGUCAUCUCUCUGAACAAAAUGGAC